CAUUUCCGCUGUUCUUCGCUGCAUGAUCCGUGUCAUUGUCAUCCCCAACCCUCCAUCUCUCUCCUCUUUUGUGGUGUUGUUCACUUUAUAACUCAAAGGCUCUUUUAAGAGCCAUUUCCCCUUGCAAUAACUUUGAACACAACUCCGAAUGAGAAAGAAAUGCAUACAGCUGUCCAGUCGCAGUGUGACCCUAAAUGUUGUCCAAAUCCUGUGGUAACAAGCCUGAAGGUAGUUAAAGCAAGCAAAACAUUUUGGGGAACCAUGCCAAAUGAGGGGCAACAGCAGUUGCUAAACAAUGCUUUGGAUGUGGAAAAGUGCAAAGACGAGCCAUUGGCAACUGCAUAUAGCACAACGCUAAAACGAUCAGACCUGUGCUGUCUGGGACUGGAAAAAGACAUUGAGGGAACGGUUCUCAACUGUU